rnacentral:tRNA from 1 species
GAUGGUAUAGUUCAGUGGUAGAACGUGUGCCCAGCAUACAUAUAUCCUGGGUUCAAUCACCAGUAUUUCCA